rnacentral:rRNA from 1 species
UGAUGACGAGACGCUAAGGCGUUGAAGCAGUGUAUGUCAGACUUCCAAGAAAAGCUCGCAAUGUCACAAAUAAAAAUGCCUGUACCAUAACCGACACAGGUGGGUAGGUAGAGUAUACUAAGGGGCGCGAGAUAACUCUCUCUAAGGAACUCGGCAAAAUGACUCCGUAACUUCGGGAGAAGGAGUGCCUUAUUUAUAAGGUUGCAAUAACAAGAUCCAAGCAACUGUUUAUCAAAAACACAGGUCUCCGCUAAGUCGUAAGACGAUGUAUGGGGGCUGACGCCUGCCCAGUGCCAGAAGGUUAAAGAAGUUGGUUAGUGUAUGCGAAGCUGAUGACUGAAGCCCUGGUGAACGGCGGCCGUAACAAUAACGGUCCUAAGGUAGCGAAAUUCCUUGUCGGGUAAGUUCCGACCCGCACGAAAGGCGUAAUGAUUUGGAUACUGUCUCGGAGAGAGGCUCGGUGAAAUAGACUUGUCUGUGAAGAUGCGGACUGCCUGCACCAGGACAGAAAGACCCUAUGAAGCUUUACUGUAACUUGAAAUUGGAAUUGGACUUUGCUUGCGCAGUAUAGGUGGGAAGCGUUGAAAAUAUUCUUGCGGGAGUAUUGGAGCUAUCAGUGAGAUACCACUCUUGUAAUGUUAGAUUUCUAACUUUGAACCAUAAUCUGGUCAAAGAACAGUUUCAGGUGGGCAGUUUGACUGGGGCGGUCGCCUCCCAAAUGGUAACGGAGGCGUACAAAGGUUUCCUCUGAACGGAUAGAAAUCGUAUCUAGAGUGUAAAGGCAUAAGGAAGCUUGACUGUGAGACCUACAAGUCGAGCAGGGACGAAAGUCGGUCUUAGUGAUCUGACGGUACUGAGUGGAAAGGCCGUCACUCAACGGAUAAAAGUUACUCUAGGGAUAACAGGCUGAUCUCCCCCAAGAGUUCACAUCGACGGGGAGGUUUGGCACCUCGAUGUCGGCUCAUCGCAUCCUGGGGCGGUAGUACGUCCCAAGGGUUGGGCUGUUCGCCCAUGAAAGCGGUACGCGAGCUGGGUUCAGAACGUCGUGAGACAGUUCGGUCCAUAUCCGGUGUAGGCGCUAGAAUAUUGAGAGGAGCCUUUUUUAGUACGAGAGGACCGAGAAGGACACACCGCUGGUGUACCAGUUAUCGUGCCAACGGUAAACGCUGGGUAGCUAUGUGUGGAGUGGAUAACCGCUGAAAGCAUCUAAGUGGGAAGCCCACCUCGAGAUGAG